UGCUACUUCUUUAACAGACAUUCUCUCUGAGCCUCUUUACUGUGUCGCCACCAUGCUAGAUGCUAGGUACAAGGACCGCUACUUCUUUAACAGGCAUUCUCUCUGAGCCUCUUUACUGUGUCGCCACCAUGCUAGAUGCUAGGUACAAGGACCACUACUUCUUUAACAGACAUUCUCUCUGAGCCUCUUUACUGUGUUGCCACCAUGCUAGAUGCUAGGUACAAGGACUGCUACUUCUUUAACAGGCAUUCUCUCUGAGCCUCUUUACUGUGUUGCAACCAUGCUAGAUGCUAUGUACAAGGACCGCUACAUCUUUAACAGGCAUUCUCUCUGAGCCUCUUUACUGUGUUGCCACCAUGCUAGAUGCUAGGUACAAGGACCGCUACUUCUUUAACAGGCAUUCUCUCUGAGCCUCUUUACUGUGUUGCCACCAUGCUAGAUGCUAGGUACAAGGACUGCUACUUCUUUAACAGGCAUUCUCUCUGAGCCUCUUUACUGUGUUGCCACCAUGCUAGAUGCUAGGUACAAGGACUGCUACUUCUUUAACAGGCAUUCUCUCUGAGCCUCUUUACUGUGUUGCCACCAUGCUAGAUGCUAUGUACAAGGACCGCUACUUCUUUAACAGGCAUUCUCUCUGAGCCUCUUUACUGUGUUGCCACCAUGCUAGAUGCUAGGUACAAGGACCGCUACUUCUUUAACAGGCAUUCUCUCUGAGCCUCUUUACUGUGUCGCCACCAUGCUAGAUGCUAGGUACAAGGACUGCUACUUCUUUAACAGGCAUUCUCUCUGAGCCUCUUUACUGUGUCGCCACCAUGCUAGAUGCUAGGUACAAGGACUGCUACUUCUUUAACAGGCAUUCUCUCUGAGCCUCUUUACUGUGUCGCCACCAUGCUAGAUGCUAGGUACAAGGACUGCUACUUCUUUAACAGGCAUUCUCUCUGAGCCUCUUUACUGUGUCGCCACCAUGCUAGAUGCUAGGUACAAGGACUGCUACUUCUUUAACAGGCAUUCUCUCUGAGCCUCUUUACUGUGUCGCCACCAUGCUAGAUGCUAGGUACAAGGACGGCUACUUCUUUAACAGGCAUUCUCUCUGAGCCUCUUUACUGUGUUGCCACCAUGCUAGAUGCUAGGUACAAGGACCGCUACUUCUUUAACAGGCAUUCUCUCUGAGCCUCUUUACUGUGUUGCCACCAUGCUAGAUGCUAGGUACAAGGACUGCUACUUCUUUAACAGGCAUUCUCUCUGAGCCUCUUUACUGUGUUGCCACCAUGCUAGAUGCUAGGUACAAGGACUGCUACUUCUUUAACAGGCAUUCUCUCUGAGCCUCUUUACUGUGUUGCCACCAUGCUAGAUGCUAGGUACAAGGACCGCUACUUCGAUGCAGACAAGAAACAGGGUUUAUGUGAAAUGUUACAUACACAGUUGGACAAGAUGGAAAUGGACACAGUGACCGUGUGCACAGAGGAAGAGGGGCUACAGACAGAGAUGAAACUUCACUGCUUGACAUGUAUGAUGAAAUCCUGGUUGAGAAUGAAACGACUGAACAAAUGAACAACGAAAUAGCAAGUAAGUGAAAGAAAUAGGUUCUGACUAUGUUUUACUGGUAAUGGGGAAGUUCUUCUGCCACUCAGCAAGGAAGAAGCCACUGCUCCAUAACCGUCAUUAAAAAAAACAGACUACAGUUUGCAGCUGCACAUGGGGACAAAGAUCGUACUUUUUGGAGAAAGGGCCUCUGGUCUGAUGAAACAAAAAUGGAACUGUUUGGGCCAUAAUGACCAUCGUUAUGUUUGGAGGAAAAAGGGAGAGCCUUGCAAGCCAAAGAACACCACCUCAACCGUGAGGCACGGGGGUGGCAGCAUCAUGUUGUGGGGGUGCUUUGCUGCAGGGGGGCCUGGUGCACUUCACAAAAUAGAUGGCAUCAUGAGGUAGGAAAAUUAUGUGAAAAUAUUGAAGCAACAUCUCAAGACAUCAGUCAGGAAGUGGGUCAAAUGGGUCUUCCAAAUGGACAAUGACCCCAAGCAUACUCCAAGGUUGUGGCAAAAUGGCUUAUGGACAACAAAGUCAAGGUAUUGGAGGGCCAUCAUAAAGCCCUGACCUCAAUCCUAUAGAAAAUGUGUGGGCAGAACUGAAAAAAAUGUGCUCGAGAAAGGAAGCCUUCAAAACCUGACUCAGUUACACCAGCUCUGUCAGGAGGAAUGGGCCAAAAUUCACCCAAUGUAUUGUGGGAAGUUUGUGGAAGGCUACCCAAAAUGUUUGACCCAAGUUAAACAAUUUAAAGGCAAUGCUACCAAAUACUAAUUGAGUGUAUGUAAACUUCUGACCCACUGGGAAUGUGAUGAAAGAAAUAAAAGCUGAAAUAAAUAAUUCUGUCUAUUAUUAGUCUGACAUUUCACAUUCUUAAAAAAAAGUGGUGAUUCUAACUGACCUAAAAGAGGGAAUUUUUUAUGAAGAUUAAAUGUCAGGAAUUGUGAAAAACGGAGUUUAAAUGUAUUUGGCUGGGGUGUAUGUCAACUUCCGACCAACUGUAUACCACUAUCUAUAUCAGCAUCUAUACUGCUAUCUAUACCAGCAUCUACAGUAUAUCACUAUAUAUACACCACAUAUACACCACUAUCUAUAGCUCAAUCUAUACCACUAUUUACAGUGGGGCAAAAAAGUAUUUAGUCAGCCACCAAUUGUGCAAGUUCUCCCACUUCAAAAGAUGAGAGAGGCCUGUAAUUUUCAUCAUAGGUACACUUCAACUAUGACAGACAAAAUGAGAAAAACAAAUCCAGAAAAUCACAUUGUAGGAUUUUUAAUGAAUUUAUUUGCACUAUCUAUCUAUACCACUAUCUAUCUGCACCACUGUCUACACCACUAUCUAUCUAUACCACUAUCUAUCUGUACCACUAUCUAUCUGUACCACUGUCUACACCACUAUCUAUCUAUACCACUAUCUAUCUGUACCACUAUCUAUCUGUACCACUGUCUACACCACUAUCUAUCUAUACCACUAUCUAUCUGCACCACUGUCUACACCACUAUCUAUCUAUACCACUAUCUAUCUGUACCACUAUCUAUCUGUACCACUGUCUACACCACUAUCUAUCUAUACCACUAUCUAUCUGUACCACUGUCUACAUCUCUAUCUAUCUAUACCACUAUCUAUCUGUACCACUGUCUACACCUCUAUCUAUCUAUACCACAUGGUGACAUCCUGGACUAGUCCAAAGAGCUGCCACUUUAAAGUCCCUUUGAAUGUCAGAAGAACUUGUAUCAAAAGACAAAUUAAUGUCCUGCACCCAGUAGAGUUGUUUGACAGGUAGAAAGGUAUCAUUUUCGGAGUAGACUAUCAUUGUAAAUAAGAAUUUGUUCUUAACUGACUUUGCCUAGUUAAAUGAAGGUUAAAUAAAUAAAAUACAACAAAAUUCAGAAUGAGAUGUCCUAACUGCUUUCAUACUCCCCAUAGGGCUGGGUGGAAGAUCUGUUGUGGAAGUACUAAUCCGUUCCCUGUAGAGCUUCUUUGAGGAAGAGCAUGAAGAGACAAAGAGAAGGCUACAGCCACAGGUGUCUUUCUGUUGAACACGAGUCAAAUCAAAAAUGUUCCAAGCUAAAUCAAGAUCAUUGCAUCCUCUGGUAGGCCACCAACCAACUAUUGUAUUUGUCGAGGCACAAACAUGAUUUGUAUACUAUCAGAAAGCCUUGCUCAGUCAGCAUAUAUCCCAUGUACUGAAUGUGUAGAUAAUCCACAGAGAUACAAUUGUAGCUGUGUGGAACUGUACAACAGCGUUAACAUCAGUUUCCAAUCAGACAACUGCUUUCAUACUCCCCAACAGCACUUUUCUGUUUAUACAUUUGAAAAGCCAAUGCAAAGACUUUGCCAUGAUGGAAUGUGCUCUUUCUUUCCUCUCUUUAGCUCAGCAGAGAUAAGAGAACAUCUGUAAUUAUGGGAAAGGCAUUUUUCUGCAUUUUAUUAUUCUCUAAAUCAGAUGCCUUGGCAGACCGACUGGGAGAGUGACAUACUUAAACUAGCUUUGUGGUUGUGUGUUUCACAAAAUCUCCACGGAGAAUAAAAGACAGAACGAGCUCCAGAUUUGGGUGACCUCCCUCCUGGCACGCAGAGACACUUUCAAAGACCAAACGAGCCCGGCAAUGCUUUCAGCGCCACAUUACACUCUCUACACAACUUCUGACAAAAACUAUGAAGGCGGUCUUGGAUCCGAGAGACUGAGAGUUUUUGCUGCGUGGGAAUGUUUCACCCAUUAGCUUGUUUUGUUGAAAGGGGUUUUGACCAAAUGUAGGACGAGGAGCAUGGAGGGUAUUCUAAAAUAACCUGCAACAAAUCUAUAGAAAUAUGAACAGGUCAGUAUUAUUCAUAUGCACAGUAGGUAGUGGUCUGUGAAUAAAGGAAAAGGUUCAGAGGAAUGACUCUGGUUUCAGCUUAGGAUCCCUCCGUCCGACUCCAUCCCUGACAUGUGAGUCACACUACAGUACAGGGGGGGGCGGUUUGUUUUCCUUCUCCCAGCCAAGCCUCUAUGUGUGGUGAUUUCAUAUUAUAACUGUGUCAACCAUUCUGUUUUGGAAUAGCUCACCUCUUUGUUCCUUUUUGAAAGAGCUUCACGGCAACGGACAUCUGCGUUCUUUCAUUGAAAAAGAAAAGUCCCUCAAAAAGUGAGAUGAGGCAAAACAAUACAGUGUCCCUGUGAAACACAUGCCACAUUCUGACCACCGGGGCCAUUAUAACACAGCCUCAGUAAUACAGUGUCCCUGUGAAACACAUGCCACAUUCUGACCACCGGGGCCAUUAUAACACAGCCUCAGUAAUACAGUGUCCCUGUGAAACACAUGCCACAUUCUGACCACCGGGGCCAUUAUAACACAGCCUCAGUAAUACAGUGUCCCUGUGAAACACAUGCCACAUUCUGACCACCGGGGCCAUUAUAACACAGCCUCAGUAAUACAGUGUCCCUGUGAAACACAUGCCACAUUCUGACCACCGGGGCCAUUAUAACACAGCCUCAGUAAUACAGUGUCCCUGUGAAACACAUGCCACAUUCUGACCACCGGGGCCAUUAUAACACAGCCUCAGUAAUACAGUGUCCCUGUGAAACACAUGCCACAUUCUGACCACCGAGCCAUUAUAACACAGCCUCAGUAAUACAGUGUCCCUGUGAAACACAUGCCACAUUCUGACCACCGGGGCCAUUAUAACACAGCCUCAGUAAUAGUGUCCCUGUGAAACACAUGCCACAUUCUGACCACCGGGGCCAUUAUAACACAGCCUCAGUAAUACAGUGUCCCUGUGAAACACAUGCCACAUUCUGACCACCGGGGCCAUUAUAACACAGCCUCAGUAAUACAGUGUCCCUGUGAAACACAUGCCACAUUCUGACCACCGGGGCCAUUAUAACACAGCCUCAGUAAUAGUGUCCCUGUGAAACACAUGCCACAUUCUGACCACCGGGGCCAUUAUAACACAGCCUCAGUAAUACAGUGUCCCUGUGAAACACAUGCCACAUUCUGACCACCGGGGCCAUUAUAACACAGCCUCAGUAAUACAGUGUCCCUGUGAAACACAUGCCACAUUCUGACCACCGGGGCCAUUAUAACACAGCCUCAGUAAUACAGUGUCCCUGUGAAACACAUGCCACAUUCUGACCACCGGGGCCAUUAUAACACAGCCUCAGUAAUACAGUGUCCCUGUGAAACACAUGCCACAUUCUGACCACCGAGCCAUUAUAACACAGCCUCAGUAAUACAGUGUCCCUGUGAAACACAUGCCACAUUCUGACCACCGGGGCCAUUAUAACACAGCCUCAGUAAUACAGUGUCCCUGUGAAACACAUGCCACAUUCUGACCACCGGGGCCAUUAUAACACAGCCUCAGUAAUAGUGUCCCUGUGAAACACAUGCCACAUUCUGACCACCGGGGCCAUUAUAACACAGCCUCAGUAAUACAGUGUCCCUGUGAAACACAUGCCACAUUCUGACCACCGGGGCCAUUAUAACACAGCCUCAGUAAUACAGUGUCCCUGUGAAACACAUGCCACAUUCUGACCACCGAGCCAUUAUAACACAGCCUCAGUAAUACAGUGUCCCUGUGAAACACAUGCCACAUUCUGACCACCGGGGCCAUUAUAACACAGCCUCAGUAAUACAGUGUCCCUGUGAAACACAUGCCACAUUCUGACCACCGAGCCAUUAUAACACAGCCUCAGUAAUACAGUGUCCCUGUGAACACAUGCCACAUUCUGACCACCGAGCCAUUAUAACA